UCUGAUAAAGCACUCGAGUCUCUCUCUCUCUCUCUCUCUCUCUCUCUCUCUCUCUCUCUCUCUAUCAUCUGAAACAAAGGCCAAUUGUUUAAAGCAGAGACGAGGAUAUUCCCCGACUGAAUUUACUGUCACCAGACACUGCUCGAAACUCGAAGGCAAUGGAGCGCAAGCGACUGGCCCUGCUGCCUAUUCUGGCGUUGGUGUUUCUGUCUGCAAUUUUCCUGCAAGCGGAAGGAAGAAGAAGCAGGCAGCCAUUUCGUCAUGGGCCGUAUCGAAAGCUGGCAAGUCACUCGGUGAAACUGACCAAUGCUUGCAGUUGUAGAGAUCGAAGACUUUGCAUGCCUCUCGCAUUAGCCAGUCUUCAGUACCCUUCGGCACCUCACGUCCAGAACUACUUUUUGAAGAAGAAUAAGACGGAGGUGUUCGCCUUUGUGCUCGACUGCGACCAGUCGGUGUGGUCGAAAUUCGACUGGGGAAAGUUGACCACCAUCGCGCUCGCUGGGAAAGCUGACGCCGAUCUUAUCUGUCACGCCCAUGACAAUGGCGUGGGCGUUGUCUCUCUGG